GAAAGCAAUGCUCGGUUCAGUCAGUAGUAACCCAUCACCAUGAACAGAUCAGUGGUGUGUCUUUACUUUGCAUUGUUUGCCAUUGUCCCGUUUGCUGCCGGAUUAUGCAAUGUCGGCUUGGGGAAGCGCGUUUUCGGGGACGUGCUGCUCGAAACAUUGAGCUUCAAAAACUCAUCAACCACCGAACCGAAACAGUUAUCACUGGUGAUCAGCUACCAGCCUAAUGCGCAUCUUGGCGAACAGAUAACCUACAGCAAGACGCAGGGAUCUGUUAAGUGUACUCUAGUAAUUCCACAGGCAAAAAACAAGAAAGGACUGUUUUUGACCAUGACAAGCCAAAACAAUGUUACGGAACUGUCGGCAACGUUGGAAAUCUACGGAUUCCGCCAAGGGCAGGCAGUGAGAGUUAAUUGAGCGUCGCGAACUACCUCCAGCACUUAAGAUUUCCAUCCACUGUCAAGUAAUGUGUGAACGUUGUGAAAGUAAAAGAACCUUUAACAUACUUAAGAAAUUAAAAAUGUUCUCUCUGAUCA